AUUGCUUCUCGGCCUGAUGGCUAAGAUCAAGCGUAGUACCUGUUCUUAUCAGUUUAAUAUCUGAUAUGUCCUUUAUUUGAGGACUAUAUAUUGAAUUGAUUUUUGUAGUUGGGAGAUGGAUGUAGGGCUUGCCCAAUUCACUCCAUGCAUCAGCUUGGUAUUGCAGUGUUUCCAAGAAUGGUGCACCUUCC